rnacentral:tRNA from 1 species
CCAGGUGGCUCAGUGGUAAAGAAUCUGCCUGCCAAGCAGGAGACCUGGGUUUGAUUCCUGGGUCUGGA